UCGAUCGCCAGGAGCAGGGUUGGGCACCCCUGCUGUAGAGGGUGUGCCAUUUCCCAGUGUCUUUUAUGCAACUUACCAUCUAUCACCCAAAAGGUGUACACAAUCAAUGCAAAUUCCAAUUGUAAGUUCCCGUCUCCAUUUGGAGGAUGUUUGUCUUAGUCUGAGUAUUUAAGUGAAUGUUGCAAGAAGAUCUGGGCGCUUCUGUAACCAGAUGAGCGUGUUGCGUGGAGUGUGUCCAUACACUCCAUACUAUGUAUUUUCCUGAAUUCAGGACCAGAACUGUGUGGAGGCUACAGAAUCCUCAUCAGAGUCCAUUCCAACAUAUCAAAAGUCUGAAAACACUCACUUUGAAGAGGAAACUUUUUCAUUUUAUCAGGAGACUGAAAAAAAUCUUUUUUUUUUUUUUAAAUUUUUUUUUAUCCUUAUCUCUGGAAGAAGUAUCAUCUAUAAGCAUCUCACUUUCUUCAUCCAAAGCAAUUCAACCUCUUUUAUUUCCAUGCUAGUACUUGCCUCUUCCUCAGUAUCAGUGAUUAUCUGUUGACUGUUCUCAACAGAGUUCUCUGUUUUCCUGCUUCAACAUUUAAUUGUGUUCAAACCUCUCAGCUCUGUUUUGUUGUUUCUGUUUUGUUCCCUGAGAAUCAAUUGAUUCAUUCUGUUUCUGACUCUGAGAUUCAUUUAAAAAAAAAAAAAUGUGUCCUUAAGAUUCAUUUGAUCCAUAUUGUUCUUGUCCCUGCGAUUCAUUCACUUCUUUCUGUUUUUGUCUUUGAAGUUCAUUUAAUUCACCCAGUAUUGGUCUCUGAAGUUCAUUCUGCUGUUGUCUUUGAUGUACAGCUAAUUCAUUCUGUUUUUGUCCCUGAUUUUCACUUGAUUCAUUCUGUAUUUGUCUCUUCUGAGUUUCAUUUGAUUCAUUCUGGUUUUGUCUUUGAGAUUAAUUCAACUUGUUCUGGAGUCUUA